rnacentral:rRNA from 1 species
UACGUAGGGGGCAAGCGUUGUCCGGAAUCAUUGGGCGUAAAGCGCGUGUAGGCGGCUCGGUAAGUCUGCUCUGAAAGUCCAAGGCUCAACCUUGGGAUGCGGGUGGAUACUGCCGGGCUCGAGUCCGGAAGAGGCGAGUGGAAUUCCUGGUGUAGCGGUGAAAUGCGCAGAUAUCAGGAGGAACACCAAUGGCGAAGGCAGCUCGCUGGGACGGUACUGACGCUGAGACGCGAAAGCGUGGGGAGCGAACAGG